GCUCUAAAUCGGCAUUCUAUGAAUUCGAUAAUGGACGCCAUUUUCCUUACUUUCAGCAGCAAGCAGAGCCUCGCAAUAAAGUUCCUCAAUGAGCCUGAGCCUCUUUCUGUUCGGCGAUUCGCAAUCGAUCUGAUUUGGUGCGCUGAGUUCUUCGUCUCUGGGCCUCGGUUCCCCAAUGCCAUCCUCGUAGAGGAUUCCUCCUUCCCCUGCACCCAUGGUGUAUUCCCAGGCGGGGUUCGUCUCCUCAUCGAUUGGCAGCUGCAGCGGCUCUCGAGCUGUGUACGAUGCCUCUGUGGCUCGAGGUAUUGGCCUGGCUGCUAGUGUAACAAAAUGAUUCAUCUGGUGGUGUUGGAAUUGUGGCAGAGGUUCCAGUUAAAUGCUUCGUUCUCAUACUCACUUCAAUCAGGCACACGAUGCACAGCACAGGGAUAGAAAGCAUCUUGGGUUGAAAAUUUAUAAGUAACUAAGGACAAACGAAAGCAAACAAUUGAUUGUUAGUGGAAGGCACACUGGGACAGAGCAGGAUAACCAGACAUCCAGCCAUUACCAUGCAGGAUGCAGGAACAAGGAAACAAAGGAACGAUCCCAACUAUUUUUUAUACUUUACCCAAACAAACAUUGAACUGAAAUUGAAAUGAACUUCGAGCAAGACCAAGAGAGUCUCCUCCUUUCUCAAAAUCCAGGGACUCUCCGUACAUUUAUUUUUUUAGUUACCUAAACUAUAAUUAACCACGCGCAACUGUACACAUUCUGCUGUAUGUAUGUAAUGUGUAAUUUCUAAUCUUAUUGAUUCAUGACUUAUCGACUAGGGCUCGUGUGUGCCAGGGAGUUGCCAUUUUCUCCAGCAGCAAUUUGUUACUCAGUUAAGGAAAACAGGGCAAACAUUUUAAAAUGAACUUCUUUAUCGCUAUAUCAUUACUACAUUUACAUUAAUCGAUCAUUAGUUGCAAUGCGCUUGCUUGUUUUUUUUUUGUGUGUUACUUUUUCUUGUAACAAAAAACUCUUAUGCCAUAAUCUCUCUCCGACUCUCGGCCAUUCAAUUUUGAUUGAAAAUAGUGUUUUCAUUUUGUAAUUUUGUUUCUUGUUUGUCGUUGGUUUGCUGUUUUUGCAUUUAUACAAUUUUAAGGCUACAUGGAGGGGAUUUUAAUUUGGGUAUGGGUAUGGGUAUGGGUAUGGAUAUGGGGUGUAUGCCUUCUGUGCAAGACUUGAUUCAAUUUUGUUUUUAUUUCUUGUUUUAUUUUGGGUUUUUAAAAACGAAAUGGAAACAAAGUACAUAUAGUGCCCGCCCGCGCCCUAGUAAACCCUCGAGAGAGAUGCGGUACCAUCGAUCCAUCGAGGGUCCACGUCUAGGCCGGAUGCAUGGCUUAAAACGAAAUAACUUAACCUAUCAAGGGGGGGGGGGGGGGGGGGGGGG
rnacentral:lncRNA from 1 species